rnacentral:lncRNA from 1 species
AACAUAUUAAAUAAAACAAUUCUUAAUAUGACAAAAAGGAAAACAUAUGGCCAGGAAUAUCUGACAAGGAUCUCAAUUAAGGACUAGGUCCUAACAACCAGUUAACCUUUUAUAUAAUAUGGUACAUAGACUCAGCUCUGUGAUUCUUUUCAAAGCAGAACCAAAUGCAUUGUACAAUGAAAGUUCCAAUCAUGUACUUGGGUCCGAAGCUGCACAUAACUCAUUACAAACAAAGAUUUCUUUCGUUUCAAGCC